UUUGUUCAUUUGAAUGAAUCUAACCUUGAGAUGCAGCAAAGUGUAGAUUGAGUCGACCCAAAGGAUGAUUGGGUCGACCCCGGCACAUCAAGAAGUCAUUUGGCAUACUUCUGCAAAAUUGGCACAGAUGAACAGUGAGUUGGGUCGACCCAAGGUAAGCAUGAGUCGACCCAAACUUCAAGAACCUCAAAACAUGAAAGAAAUAUGUUCUCUGGAUUU
rnacentral:lncRNA from 1 species